rnacentral:rRNA from 1 species
GACGAACGCUGGCGGCGUGCCUAAUACAUGCAAGUAGGACGCUGAAGAGAGGAGCUUGCUCUUCUUGGAUGAGUUGCGAACGGGUGAGUAACGCGUAGGUAACCUGCCUUGUAGCGGGGGAUAACUAUUGGAAACGAUAGCUAAUACCGCAUAACAAUGGAUGACACAUGUCAUUUAUUUGAAAGGGGCAAUUGCUCCACUACAAGAUGGACCUGCGUUGUAUUAGCUAGUAGGUGAGGUAACGGCUCACCUAGGCGACGAUACAUAGCCGACCUGAGAGGGUGAUCGGCCACACUGGGACUGAGACACGGCCCAGACUCCUACGGGAGGCAGCAGUAGGGAAUCUUCGGCAAUGGGGGCAACCCUGACCGAGCAACGCCGCGUGAGUGAAGAAGGUUUUCGGAUCGUAAAGCUCUGUUGUAAGUCAAGAACGUAGUGUGAGAGUGGAAAGUUCACACUGUGACGGUAGCUUACCAGAAA